CCGCAGUUUUUUUUUAUUUCAAUUAUAAUAAUGAACAAAUGAAGAGAUAAAAACUACAAGUUGCAAUCAUUUUGAAUUAUUUUGCUGUUCAUCAGAAUUAUUGAGAGACUGUUAUUGUUUUCAAAAACAGUACCAACUUAAUAUACCCCCUUUUUAGCUCACCUUUUCUCAUCACUUGAUGUUUGUCGUCUGUCAUCAGUCGUCCCUUGUCAGGCAUCCGUCGUCUGUCGUCCGGCAUCCGUUGUCUGUCGUCCAGCAUCUGUCAUCUGAUGUCCGGCAUCCGUCGUCUGUCAUCUGGCAUCCGUCGUCCGUAAAAUUUAACAAAUUGCCCCCAUUUUCCUCUAGGUUGUGAGUCCCAGAACGGGCCAUACAAGGCAUGUUAUUUUGAGGGUCCAUAUCGAGUGCACCUCAGUG
rnacentral:lncRNA from 1 species